rnacentral:rRNA from 1 species
CCUACGGGUGGCAGCAGUAGGGAAUUUUCGUCAAUGGGCGCAAGCCUGAACGAGCAAUGCCGCGUGAACGAGGAAGGUCUUCGGAUCGUAAAGUUCUGUUGAAGGGGAAACAGAGCGGAGAGAGGAAAUGGUCUCCGAUUGAUAUUACCCUUCGAGGAAGUCACGGCUAACUACGUGCCAGCCGCGGCGGUAAUACGGGGGAUGCAAGAGUUAUCCGGGUUUAUUGGGUUUAAAGGGUGCGUAGGCUGUGAGGUAAGUCAGCGGUGAAAUGGCGCCGCGCAACGGGGUGAAGUGCCAUUGAUACUGCCGUGCUGGAAUGCGGAUGCCGUGGGAGGAAUGUGUGGUGUAGCGGUGAAAUGCAUAGAUAUCACACAGAACACCGAUUGCGAAGGCAUCUCACGAAUCCGCGAUUGACGCUGAUGCACGAAAGCGUGGGUAUCAAACAGGAUUAGAUACCCCAGUAGUC